rnacentral:tRNA from 1 species
GGAUUGUGGCUCAGCGGUAGACCACUCACCUACUACAUGCAAGGCCCUGGGUUCGAUCCUCAGCACCA